GACGAACCGUACGAACGUUAUUCGGAAUUACUGGGCUUAAAGAGUUCGUAGGCGGCGCAGAAAGUAGGGUGUGAAAGCCCUCGGCUCAACCGAGGAAUUGCGCUCUAAACUACUGUGCUUGAGGGACCUAGAGGUGAGCGGAACUGAUGGUGGAGCGGUGAAAUGCGUUGAUAUCAUCAGGAACACCGGAGGCGAAGGCGGCUCACUGGGGGUCUUCUGACGCUGAGGAACGAAAGCCAGGGGAGCGAACGGG
rnacentral:rRNA from 1 species